rnacentral:rRNA from 1 species
CAGCCGCCGCGGUAAUACCAGCAGCCCAAGUGGUGGUCGCGUUUAUUGGGCCUAAAGCGCUCGUAGCCUGGCCGGUAAGUUCCCCGUGAAAUCGGGUCGCCCAACGAUUCGGCUUGCGGGGAAUACUGUCGGUCUUGGGGCCGGGAGACGCCGAGGGUACUCCGGGGGUAGCGGUGAGAUGCUGUAAUCCUCGGGGGACUACCAGUGGCGAAGGCGCUCGGCGAUAACGGGCCUGACGGUGAGGGGCGAAAGCUGGGGGCGCGAACGGGAUUAGAUACCCCCGUAGUCCCUGUCUCUUAUA